rnacentral:tRNA from 1 species
GGAGGGGUGGCAGAGUGGUCGAAUGCGCCGGUCUUGAAAACCGGAGACGGGAAACUGUCCGUGGGUUCGAAUCCCACCCCCUCCGCCA